GAAAUAUUGCUCAUUGCACACAUAUUAAGAUUAUCUUGUUUCACAGAAGAGAAGGAAGACCAAGGAAAUGAUUUGCUCAGGAUGAGAAAUGAAGAUGGUCAUCUUGUGCUCAAGCAAACAGAAGUCCUCUGAUGGUCUCAUCAGCCAAAUGAGGGGUUUUGACCAAGUGAUGCUCUUGAAAGGAGUGAAAGAAGAGGAUGUGGUAAAUUGUCUUCAGAGAAAAAGCUUCUCAAAAGAUCUUAAAACAGCUUGAAGAAUGGUAAGUGUACAGUUCUACAAGGGUCAUAGUUGCUCAUCUUGCUAAAAUCACACAGAACAUAAGCUGAGCUCUCUGUCCAUUAAACAACUUCAUCUGGAUUGUUUGUUUCACUUUGACCAGGUCUAGGAUCUUAGGACUGAGAGAUCUCACUGGCACCCAGUUAACCUUCAUAGAGAACAUUUAUCAGAAGCGCUGUCUGGGUAGGGCAAGAAACAUCAUCAAGGAUGCCUCUCACCCUAACCAUGGACUUUUCACCCUCCUUCCAUCCGGCAGGCGUUACAGGAGCCUACGCUCUCGAACUAGUAGGCUCAGGAAGAGCUUCUUCCCCGAGGCUGUGACACUCCUGAACACCGCACCACCAAUCUAACCUGCACCUGCUCUUUUACUGCACUGGUCACAGUACUUUACAUACAUGUAUUGCACUACUCAUAUUUUG
rnacentral:lncRNA from 1 species